rnacentral:pre_miRNA from 1 species
GAUUUCAGCUGAAAAAGUCAUCAACAACAAAGUUGUAUAACUCAUCAAGAUUUAUAACUUCUAUUUUGGUCAUUUCUUCAUCCAACAAAGUGAUAGUAACAUUUUCACAAAAUUUACAGUUUAUAAAACUAUAUUAGAGAUAUGUACAUUUUGUGAACAAUUUUACAAAUCACUUUGUGAGAUGAAGAAAUGACCAAAAUAGAAGUUAUAUAUAUUGAUGAGUUAUAGAACUUUGUUAUUGAUGACUUUUUCAGUUGAAAUC